rnacentral:tRNA from 1 species
UGGCAUGUGGCUCAGAGGAUACAGUGCCAGACUCUCAAGCAGGAGGUCCUGAGUUUGAUUCCCAGCAUCACAU